UACGUAGGGUGCAAGCGUUAAUCGGAAUUACUGGGCGUAAAGCGUGCGCAGGCGGUUCUAUAAGACAGAUGUGAAAUCCCCGGGCUCAACCUGGGAACUGCAUUUGUGACUGUAGAGCUGGAGUGCGGCAGAGGGGGAUGGAAUUCCGCGUGUAGCAGUGAAAUGCGUAGAUAUGCGGAGGAACACCGAUGGCGAAGGCAAUCCCCUGGGCCUGUACUGACGCUCAUGCACGAAAGCGUGGGGAGCAAACAGG
rnacentral:rRNA from 1 species